ACCAAACAUGUGAAUGAUGAUGUCUCACCAAGGAAGAGUUAUUGGACUGUUGUUAGUGAAACAGCCAAGACUGAAACGGAGGCGAAAAUUCGCUUAGGGACGACUCCAUCUGAGCUGGUAAUUGUGAAUCCAAAUAAGAAAACUAAACCUGGAAACCAUCAUGGCUAUCGUUUGAUACCAGGGGCACCUACACACCCCCUUCUGCUAGAGGAUGACUAUCCACAAAUUCGUGGAGCCUUCUCUAAGUAUAAUGUGUGGGUCACCCCAUAUAACAAGUCUGAAAUAUGGGCAGGAGGAAAGUAUGUUGAUCAAAGCCAAGGACAAGACACUUUAGCUGUUUGGACCCUCAGGUACUCCAUUGCUAAUCUAAAACAGUAGAGAUCAUGUCAUUAAUUAACUUAAUUUCAAUCUCGAAAUUUAUUCCAAUUUUCUGUUUUUGGAUGUGCAGGGAUAGAAAGAUUGAAAACGAGGACAUAGUAUUAUGGCAUGUCUUAGGGUAUCACCACUCCCCUUGCCAAGAAGAUUUUCCUGUGAUGCCAACAUUGAGUGCUGGAUUCGAGCUCCGACCAGCUAAUUUCUUUGAAAGCAAUCCUGUGCUCAAGGUGUUGCCUCCUAAGCCUGUACGUUGGCCUAACUGCACCGCCAAACCAUAGUCUAUUUUCUUUCGUGUUUCUCGAAAUGCCAAAUAAAUUUGUCUCUACUUUAAUGCUUGCAUGUUGUUGUAUUUGUGGUGCGGAGCUUUGCUAUUGGGAGUUCCGUAUCGAAAACAAGAAAGCUUGCAAGAGCUCUGCUCGAUGAACUAGAACGUUUCAAUGUUUUGUUAGAAAUCAUAUGGUUUCCAACAAAAUAAUUCAUCUAACUAAAGAACUCCCUUUUUUUUUUUUUAGGAAGAAAGGCUAACUUCAAAUUUUAACUGCUGAAAUAGAGAUUUUAACCUGCCAACCAAAUGACUAAUAGCUUCAUUUGCUAUUAUUAAUUCCACUUCCCCUCCCUCAGGCUGAGGUAACAAGGCUCCACAACCCAGGCUUCUAUUUCCUAUAUGUGUGCCCAAGUCCUGUAUAGUAUCGUAGGAAUUUGAUCCUCAAACUGUAGGAUUGAACUCAUAGCACGAAACUGGUUAGCAUUUUUGUGUUUCCUUCCAUUAAGAGCAGAACGAGAACAAUAUGCCUUUUCACACUCUUUAUACAUUAAUUGUAAGCCGGCAUCUUGGCAAUGGUUCAGGAUGAAUGGACCAUAAUAUUGAGUUAUCUUGGAAUAAGCUUUAUAAUUUAUUUUUCCCGGCAAGUUCUUUUUCUAUAUUUUUUCUUUAGACUCCAUAUGUUUUUUUAUACAUGAUUAAAUUAAAUCAUUUUAUUAGAUUUAAUAGUAUUCUAGCGAAGAUAUUUUUUUUAACAUGCUAGCAGCGUUUGAUUUGAUUAAAUUUUUUAUUGCAAUUUAGUUUAGAAAAAAGAAGGUAUAGAUUGAUACUUGGCUUCGAAAAAAGAAGAAGAAUACUUAUCAAAUCCCAAGGUCCAAGCUCCAAGUGCGAGCAUAUUGACAAAGAAACGAGGCAAGAAGAUAAGAAGACAGAAAUGUCGAGAGGUAAUUAAAAGUCUUGGAAGAGUGGGGCUAGCGCCCAGCAAACACCAGCAACACAAUUAUCGAGAGCUGAUAAUCCAUCAGUUUACGAUCUUGAACGACGUUGCUUAACUCACCUAUCUAUUUCUAUUUUAUAAGGAAAAAAAUGAUGAAAACUGUCGCACCUUACAAAAAAUCCAAUUGCGUGUUCGGCUGGUGAUUUUUUUUUUGUUUUAUUGAUUUGGUUCUUUGGAGUCGUCAUCUAGUAUUUUAGUCACUAGGAAUUCUAACUGGUCUCAGAGAUUGGAUACGAGGACUGGUUGCGUAAAGAGAAGGUAUUAGCACCCCAAAUACGCCCUACCUAAGGUAAGCUGCAUUGUUUUAUUGUCUGAUAAAAACGAAGGUGUUAUUGUGUUUUCCUAGUUGUUGGUCUGUCUAUGGUUCAAGAAAAAUUCUCCUCGGUAAGGAGAUCUUUAUCUUAUCGGGUAAAAUCCUAACCGUUCUAAUGUCUAUACCAAAACUUUAUUAAUAAUAUUUAGGAAUACGUUUUACGUAUAAAUUCGUAAUCCCAAAUGCUAAAAGAAAACAAAAAGAUUUUUUUAGAAUUUUUGAAAUAUUGACCUAGUUCUCAUAGCUUGAAUAAACUAGUUAUUAAAGCCAAAAUGCAUGCUAAUACAUAUAUUGUUUUGAAAAAAAAAAAAAAAAAAUUUUGUUGUGUGAAAAUAUGAUGUUAUAAUAUUUAUAUAUAUAUAUAUAUAUAUAUAUAUAUUAGAGAGACUAGGCCGUAUUUUAAAACCAAAAAACAAAUUUUUUUUUGGAAAAUAUUAUUUUUUAUGCUUUGACGAAAAUCAAGUAUUUUAAUACUGAGUUUGUAUCCUUACGAUAUAAAAAUACAACUCAAUAUUAAUCCACUUUAAUAAAAAUAUGCAGAAAAAUCAACAACAUUUUUAGGGAUUUUUUAGAAUAUGUUUUGAAAGCAAAAACAUUUUUUAUUUUGAAAAUCUUUGAUAUUUUGACGAAAACCGGGUAUUUUUAACACUGGUUUUGUAUCUUUACGAUAUAAAAAUACAAACCAACAUUAAACCAUUUUGACAAAAAUAUGCAAGAAAAUCAACAAUAUUUUUUUAAGAUUUUUCAAAAUAUAUAUUUUUUAAUAUAAAUAUUUUUUUAUAUAUAUAGCAUAUAUAUACACAUAUAUUAUAAUAUAUAAUAUAUUAUAUUAUGAGGCUGGGCCGACCCAAAUAAAUGGGCCAGGCUCAGCCCAAAAAAAUAAAACGGGCCGUCCUCGACCCAAAAUGAAAUUGGGCCGAUCUCGGCCUAAAAACUUCUACAGUCUGGGCCAGGACCGGCCCAGACUUGCAAGGCUGGCCCAGCACCCUCGGCCCAGCAGGGGGGGGAGAAUUAAUUUUCUUCCCCCCGCCUCCUGCAUGCAGAACUCUUUAUGCAGGAGGUAACGCCUGCAACGAAAGCGAAGGGGGAAGAAGAAAAUUUACCUGGUGUGGAGGAGGCGGUCACUGGCGGGGCUGCGGUGGCGUGGCUGAGGAGGCGCUGCGGCUGUUUCCAAGUGUUCGGUUCACUCUCUCUCUCUCCUCCCUUCUCCUUGUUUCAGUUCUCUUUUUUCUUUUUGUUUUCGGUUUGGUUCCAAUAUUCCCUUCUCUCUCUCUCGUGCGUGCUCUCUCUUCUCUUCGGUCUCCUCCCUCUCCCUCCUCCCUUCAGUUCACUCUUUAUUUAUAGGGGAAGAAUCGGUGCGCCUUUUGCUAGUGCGGGAGCAAAUCACGCAACGGCUGGUCAGCCAUUGACUCGUUCGGUGGUCUUAUGGGGCUUCGGUGGGGGCGAGGAGAGAGAGGCGGGAAGGUUUGAAAUGGUUUUCGUCUUCUGCUGCUCUGCUCAGGGGGGAAGAAGGAAGAUGAACAGUGUCGUUCAAAACGACACCGUUCUAGUCUUCCUUUUUUUUUUUUUAUAUAUAUGAAACGACGUCGUUUUGGAUAAAACACGCCGUUUCAUUUAAAUGAGCCAAACUUCAAAUCAGCCCUCCAUCAUUUCUUGUUCAUUUCAAUUGUAUCCCUGCCAAAUUCGGUCCCCGCCUCUCUUGUUGGCCGAGUUUUUUCACUUUAGUCCUUGGGCUCUAAUUUAUGCAAUUGAGCCCUCAAUUGAUUAAUAAACUUUCAAUUUCUUCAAUUAGGCCCCUGAAUCGAAUAAUUGCAGCCCUUACAUUUACGCGCCUCUUCCAAUUUGGUCCAUGGUUUCGGAUUUUCUUAAUUAAUUCCCUAAUUGGCCAUUAAACUUCAAUAUUUAUGCAAUUAAGCCCCUGAUUUGACCUACAAAAUUCCUAAAAAAAAUAUUUUGGCCCCAGAACUUAAAUUUCUUUCAAUUAAAGCCCAAAUUGACUUAAAAAUCAAAUUUUCUUGCAAUCAAAUCUCCUAUAAAAUCAAUUAAAAAUCCAAUUAAGUUCAUAAACAUCCAAACUUCGGCUUUUGUCCUUAAAAUUCAAAUUUUUCCUUCUCAACAGGGUUCUCUUCCUUUAAGAAUAUACUGUCAAAAAUCCAAUCUUUAUAUUUUUUUUACUUCCUUGACCAAUUUUCCGACCAUUUUCUGAGCGCUUCUGCCUCUUGUUAUUUUUUUAGCCGUCUUUGGUUAUUUAUUUUAUUUUUUGUGGGGACCCAAAAAAAUGGGUUACAACAAAAACAUUAAAAAUGAUGAUAAUACAUUUGCUUUUCACAAUCUAUGAAACUUUAAUCGUUUUUUGAGACUAAAAUUUAAUGGCUUUCUACCUUGAUGUCCUCGUCACUGGCCAUCAAAGUCUUGGAAGACUUUGAUAAGAAAUGUCGAGAGAAAAUUCAAAGUCUUGGAAGAGAAAAGAAAAGAGACAUGUGCGUCCUGAAACUAGGUUUUGUCAAUUAGAGCAGUUGGGAUUGCCGGUUGGUGGAGAUUUUUUCCAAUGUUAAAUCCUCCUGUGUUGCCUGAGCUAAUCCAUAUGUAAAAAAUCUAUAAGAGUGAACUGAAACCUUCAUUUAGCAAUCCCUUAUCAUGUCAACAAAGAAAAAAAAAACAAUUAAGCUUCAAUAAUUUAUCAAACUGGUUUUAGACAUAACUAGAUAUAUUACGCGUGUUUUAUUAAAUAAUUUUUUUAAUGUAAAAAAAUUUAAAUCUCAAGUUACUAGUUAAAGUGAUAAUUUAAAUAAUAUAAUAAAAUAAUAACAAUAACUAAAUUAACAAACAGUGAUUAUUAAGGAUAUUGAAAUGUAUCAUUGAGAGUUGUACUCAAUGAUACAAUUCUAGCCAAAGAAUCAGGAGUUUUUUCUCAUGGUAACACAAUGAAAAAAAAAUAUAUUUUCGAGACUAACACAACUUUUUCCCCAAACUAGUAUAAUUUUACUAUUCAUACAGGUCUCACGUGUGAAACUCACAUAUUAAUUUUUUUUCCUUCUUUUUUCUACCUCAUUUCAUAAUCCGGUCCCUUUAUUCAUCUUUAAUUAACUUAUUUUUGUGCAAAACCUUUUUAUGCUCAAAAUUUCUGUGAGUGUGUGUGUAUAAUUGUUACUUUCAUCACUUUAGUUUUACUCUCAAUUAUUAAUCCUUUUAGAAAAAAAGUAAAUUAAAAUACUUAUAUAUUUUCUAUUAUAAUAGUAAAAAAAAAAAACAAACCAACCUAUUAAUAUCUCAACACUUCCAUCAUUUCUUGACAGGGUUUGCUGUCGUCUCAUUAGAACUUUGUAAGUAAUACAUGAUCAACCUAUUAAUAUCGAACCUCAUCUUUCCUGCUGUACUAAUUAAUUGGACGGUUUACACUCGCGCGCACAAUAUUCUAACAGCUAGAUACUGGUUUCACUGGAUUAUCUAGAUUUGGAUUUUAAUUGAAUCUUUUGAAUUUUAUAAAUUAAUUAAAUCAUUAAUUCCAGUCCCAUAAUUAUAAACUCAACAUAGUUAGGCGGGUCAUUACGUCAACCAACAUUAGUCUAAUUUGAAAAGUACGAUUGCAACUAAUAUUUUUUUCUGAAUACGUACGUGCACUCAUAAAAAAAGUCCAAAAUGCCUAUUUAAGGAUGAAGAAGCUCCAGAGUUCCUUCAUAGCCAUGGCUUCAACAUUGAAAGUGGUGCUCUUGUUACUCUUCUCUAGCUUUACUAUCUCGCCUAUCUCUUGCUACAAGGGUGCGCAGCACCCACUAGACCCUCUAUCCCCGAAAGAGUUGACCCUUGUCCAAACCAUUGUCAAGAAAUCAUACAACCCUAGCUCAAACAACACCAUAUCAUUCCAUUAUGUAGGGUUAGAUGAGCCAGAAAAACCAACUGUUCUGUCAUGGCUAUCGAAACCCAGCACCAAAACCCUUCCUCGCCGGGCCCUAGUCUUUACUCGAGUAAAUGAACAAACCCAUGAAAUUAUUGUAGACUUGUCGAAACGCAUCAUUGUAGAAGAUGAAGUUUACAAGGGACCCGGCUAUCCUUUACUUACAGCUGACGAGCAAAUAGCUGCGAUUCUGUUGCCAUUAACGUACGGUCCCUUUAUCGAAUCAACUAAAAAGAGAGACCUUAACGUUUCAUAUGUUGUUUGUUCUACAUUUACAGUGGGGUGGUUUGGAGGAGUUGAGAGAACUAAAAGGGUGGUAAAAGUUCAAUGUUUUUAUAACAAGGACACCGUUAAUUUGUACCUCAGGCCAAUAGAGGGUAUACAAAUAGUUGUCGAUCUUGAUAAAAUGAAGAUUGUUGAAUACAGUGACACGUUCAAGAUUGCGGUACCAAAAGCUGAGGGAACUGACUACAGAUUUUCCAAGCAGAACCCGCCUUUUGGUCCCCGUAUCAACGGUGCAGCCAUCAUGCAAACGAAUGGACCAGGCUUCGAGAUUGAUGGCCAUACUAUCAGGUUUUUUUUAUGCUAUUCUUUUUGUGCAUAUUUUGUUUCUCUUCUUCUUCUCAUCGUUAUUUCACUCAUCUUGAUACCUCUGUUCUAAUUAUUUGGCCAUAUAAAAAAAAGGGAGAAAGAAUUUGUCAUUUUUUGUUCUAUAAUGACUAUUCGAAUGUAAAAGCAAGUUAAGUUAAUCAGGCCAUGGUAUAUAUAUGACGUAAAAUAUGAAGAUUACGUUCAGGUUUUAAAAAUUAGGGUUACAAAACAAAUUUGAAAAUGCAGUUUUUUAAAAUUCAGAUCUCAAUUAAUGAAGGAAUUUAAUAACUAUUCACACACUCUGUGCUUGAAAAAUACUAUAUAUAUAUAUAUAUAUAUAUAUAUAUAUAUAUUCAGAUUAAUGAAAUCUAAUAUAAAUAUUAUUUUAAAAGUAAACACUAGAUUUAAGGAAUAGCGUAGGUCAAGUUGCAAGGUAUUAGACAGGAGCCUAAUCCAAAUAAGCUAAUUACCCAAAGCCCAUCUUCAGACUUAUAAGUCGUGAUUAGUGUGCAUUUUUAUUUCAGUUAUUUUUAGAUUAAUGGAAAAACCUCUAUAUCGAAUUUGUUUUAGAAAACAAUAUAAGUUGUUUAUAUAAUUGAAUAGAAAUUAAGUAAAAUAUGAACAUGUUUAAAUUUUAAAUUUUAAAUAUUUUUAUUUAAUAAAAUUAAUAUAUUAAAAAAAUAAUAUAAAUUAUAUUUUAAAAUCUUUAAUAAAUACUUUCACCAAAAAUAUGUAGCAGAGAUGGGAAACGUUUUUUUCUCCAUGUCCUUCAUUUGGUAGACAACGACAACAAGGAAGACAUAGAAACACUGGAACGUUUCUAAAAACUUUUAAUUUUUUUUUUUAGAUUUUUUUUUUAUGUUUUAGAUUGUUUUAAUGUGCUAAUUUUAAAAAUAAUUUUUUAAAAUAAAAAUAUAUAAUUUUAAUAUAUUUUGACAUGAAAAAUAUUUUAAAAAAAAUUAUAACUAUACUUUCAAAUAUACCCGUAAAACCACAGGAAAAAGCACUGGAUUUUUCUCGUGCAUCACAAUUAUUAGAAAACUCGAAUGGUAUCCUCCAAAUUCAAUGUUGACUGUACGCCUUAAGUUCAGUUGUGACCACUAAAUAUGUUCUUUUGCUUUCCUUGAAUGAGUUAUUUGCUCUUCAUUUUUGAACAAAUUUUCUACCCUUUGAAGCUCUCACGCACAUAGAUUUUAGAAAUGCCUGUGACAUUAGCUGGUAUUGUUUUUUUCUUUUAAAAAAUAUUAUUUUAGCUGAUAAUUUGGUGUGACGGGUGGAAAACACCUUCAAUUCUAUUAGAUUGACCAGUAUACCGACUUAUUCCAAAAAAAAGAUUGACCAGUAUACCGUAGUUUCGUUCCUCGUUUAGCUAUCGUUAAGUAAAGUAAACUUCCAAUCAACAGUCCAAGGGCGAGAAUGCACGCUUUGGUACUAUAGCUUAGGAGGUACUGAUUACAGUCUAAGGGCUCCCCGCCAUAAGAGCAUCUCCAAUGCAAAAAGUCAAAUUGAGAAGCUAAAUUAAUAAAAUGGCUUUUUGAAUAGUAUAAAUAUAGCAUUUUUUUAUUAUGUGCAUUCCAAUGGUAAAAAGCUAUUUAGAAAAGCCAUUUAUAUUUUAAUAUAUUUAAUGUUAAAUUCAUUUUUAUAUAAUUAUGUAACUAAUUUAGAUAUUUUAUAUAUAAUAUAAUUAUGAUGUUAUUAAUUAUAUAAUUAAUAUGAGUAAUUUAUAAAAAUAAUAUAAAAUUUAAUGAAAUAAUAUGAAAUUUAAAAGAUAUAAUUUAAAAUUAAACUUAAAAUUUAUUUAUAUGAAUAUUUUUAAUUUUCAGUUUUAUAUUUUACUGUUAAAAAUUUAAUUUUUUAAAAGUAAAUUCAAAUUCAAACUUUAAAAAAACCAUCAAUAUUUUAAAUUUUCAUUUUCAUUUUUUUUUUAAAUCAUGCUUUGAAAAAAUUUAAAACAAAAACAAGUUUCUUUCCUUGCUUUUAAAAAAAUAUACUUACUUUAUUUUUGGCUAUCUCUACAGGAACAUGUAGAAAUAGCUCUUCUCAAUUUAAAUAGCCAUUUUGGCUUCCUUGAUAGCUGCUGCAUUGGAGUGCUUAAUUAGAGAAACAAAAGCUAAAAAAAUACUUUUUUAAUUAUGCCUUCUCAUUUGACUCUCCGGUUGGAGAUGCUCUAAGUACCCUGUGUGUCUUUCAAUUAAAAGUGUUUCGGCUGACAAGAGCCACAUGAUCAAUCCAGAGUAUUAUUGUAGCUUAUACUAUUCAUGCUAAUUAAUUAGUAUAAACUAAUUAGUAUAAACAAUGUAUUGCUACACUGUAUGCUAAAAUCAGAGUUUAGCAUUGCUACAUUGUUAACCGAACAGUAUCUAGUAAAAUAAAAAAUAUUUUUUUUAAUUUAUUUUAUUCAAAAAAUUAGUGUUUAAUAAUAUUUAAUUACACUAUAUAAAUUAGACAGAGAUCGCUUGAUGACAUAACAUUUGCAGAAUUUAAUCGCAAUACCAAUUUUGUUCCUGAUUGUAUUUUAAAUGAUGUUAUUGCGGGCUUAAGAAACCAAAAAAACUAUAAUUCUUGUUGAAUGUAUUUCAUGCGUGAUGGAAUUGUAGAUAAUUUAAUGGAACAAUAAAAAAUAUUUUAUAUAAAAUAUUAUUUAUUUCAUGAUGCAAUAACAAUAGUUAAAUCUAUAAUAUUUAAAUUAAAAAUCAUUAAUAUUAAUAUUUAUUUUUUAAAAUUAUUUUAUAACCUCAAUUUUCAAAGUAUUAUUAACCAAACACAUUAAACUACCUUUUACUCAACCUUAAUUUUAACCACAGUUUUAACCAAACAUAUAAUUUUUCAAAUCAAUAUCAACUAAAAAUAUUUUUUAUAAAACAAGUUUUUUCAAAUCAUAACCAUAACAGCAUCUAUAAUAUCAAACACACUCUUAAUUUAUUUAUUAAUACGAAUUCUAGUAGAGUGUUGUUUUGUGAUGAUUGUAAAAUAGUUUUUAACUUAUUUAUUGAUAAUUUUAACCUCCUCCUCCUCCUUUUUUUUGUUUUUUUUUUUUGUUUUUGAUCAACCCUUUACCCCUACAUGUCCACGAAAUACUCGUAUGAAGGACAAAGUAUGCACGUGAUAUCGUACAUGGUGAUGUGUUGCUAGCUGUUCCUGAAACUUCUAGCCGUCCAGGGAUUGCAAAGUCGCAAUUCCCUUCUCGUGGUCCUUGUGAGAAUAUAAUGCUUUAAAAGUUUAGAAUUCCUCAAGGAAUCAAACUGACGUGAUAAGAGGCAAAUCAUACACUAGUUUCAACUUUGAUUUCAUUUGGGCUGUUUCAAUUUGGUAUAAUGUUUUUUUUGUUUGAAAUUAUGUUUAGAUUUUUAAACAAAAUAUUUAAAUUAAUAUUUUAAAAUAUUAUUUUUUAUGAUUAUGAUAUGUUGAUAUCAAAACUGAAAAAAAUAUUAUAUUUUUUAAAAAAUAAAAAAUAUUUUUAAAAAUCAUUAUGUAUUAUUACAAUACAAAGUACAUAAUUAAACCAAAAUAUUUGAGUUGUAAUAAUGAUAUUUCUGUGGGUGGUUUUAUUCCGCUGUUUUAGUUGCUUGUACGGGCUUAAUAAACAGAAGAAUAAAAUACAAAAUUUUUUUUUUAAAAAAGGAAUUGGUUUUUACAUAUUUUAAUAUAAUUUUUGAAAUUUAAAAAAAAUUAAUUUUAUUUUCAGCAUUUUUUGCUUUAAAAAUUAAAAAUUAAUUCAACUUAAAUUGAUAUAGACAUGUGUCAUAUAUUUUCAGUAAUUUUUUACGGUGUUUAUUUUUUAAAAAUAAAUAUAUUAACUAAAAAUAUUUGGAAUGUAAAAAACACAAAUACCUUCAUCUACAAAUAUUAAAAACGGCUUGAAUUUAUUUUUAAAAAUAUUUUAUUUUUUGAAAACGGAAUUUCAUUUUCUCAAGCUGUUUUUGCUUUAAGAAAUUAAAAAUUGGCAUCAUUUUGAUUAUUUGAACACUUCUAGUAUAUCUAGAGAGUCAACAAAUUCAAAUUAACAGUGUUUCCAGUCUUCAAGAUUUCUUUACCCUUUCCAUUCUGAGGUUAACAUUUAAAUCCCCAUGAUUAAAUUAUACCCUACUAUACUAAACAAAUUCCUAUAUUAAGGUAUGUUUGCCGAUUAAUUUUAUGAAAUCAAAAGUAAUGGAUUUAAUGAUCACAUCAAUAAUUCACUUCUCAAAAUAGAAUAAAUUAAAAUCAUACAAUAAAGACAAUAUCCCUUUGUUUUUUUUUUUUUCGGAAAUGUUAGUUUCUCCACAUGUCGCAGCUAGAAACACGUUUUCUUCUUUUUCUUGUGUGAAAAGGUACAAAAUGACUUAAUUUAUUUUUGUUAUUUCAAUGGGGGGGAAAGUAUAUCUCUGGCAUUUUUCGCAAUCGGCUUUGGUUAAUCGAACCUUGCCCUACUGAGUAAUAAAGUAAAAACAAAACAUGAAGCUGGCCAUGGCAUUUCCUGAUUCGAUAAUUAAUUAUUUGUCGUUCCUUUUAUUUUAAUAUAUUUUUGAAAAGCUUAACAAACAACAAACUGCAAAUUUGAUCCCUAUCAGAUGGGUCAACUGGGUGUUUCAUCUGGCAUUUGAUGUCCGAGUUGGACCAAUUAUAUCUCUGGCAUCAAUUUACGAUCCAGAAAAGCACACCUAUCGCAGCGUGUUGUACCGAGGACACAUAUCUGAACUCUUUGUCCCCUACAUGGAUCCAACCGAGGAAUAUUACUACAAAACAUUUUUUGAUUGCGGAGAAUUCGGGUUUGGUCAAAAUGCGGCUUCAUUGGUGCCCCUGGCCGAUUGUCCAAAUAAUGCAGUCUUCAUGGACGGCUACUACGCAGCACAUGACGGUUCAGCAGUGGAAGUAGCAAAUGCUUUUUGCAUAUUUGAAAGGCACGCUGGAGAUAUCAUGUGGCGACAUACCGAGUUGGGGAUUCCAAACCGAGUGGUAAACAUUUUUUGUGACGUUAUAUUUUAGAGCCAUUGAUUUCGAUUUCAUCAGCUAAUAUAUAUAUAUAUAGGAUUGAAAAAUGUGUUCGUUAUUUUCAGAUCAAUGAGGCGAGGCCUGAGGUGAGCCUAGUAGUGAGGAUGGUUGCCACGAUCGGUAACUAUGAUCAUAUAAUAGACUGGGAAUUCAAGCCAAGUGGUUCUAUCAAAGCUCAGGUAAACUGUAGGCAAUGGCGUGGGCCGCGUGGCUUUAUAUAUAAUUAACCUUGAUCAUGUCCUCAAGUUUGUAACACGUUCUAUGCCUCAACAGGUUGGUUUAAGUGGAAUUCUUGAGGUGAAGUCAACAACAUUCACCAACGUGGAUCAGAUAAAUGAAGAAGUUUACGGUACAUUGUUGGGAGACAACACAAUCGGCUUAAACCAUGAUCAUUUCUUGACUUACCGCCUUGAUCUUGACAUUGAUGGUGCUGCCAAUUCUUUUGUUAAGCAAAAUUUGGUAACCAAACAAGUGAAGGAUAAUGUCUCACCAAGGAAGAGUUAUUGGACUGUCGUUAGUGAAACAGCCAAGACUGAAUCGGAGGCGAAAUUUCGCUUAGGGACGACUCCAUCUGAGCUGGUAAUUGUGAAUCCAAAUAAGAAAACUAAACCUGGAAACCAUCAUGGCUAUCGUUUGAUACCAGGGGCACCUACACACCCCCUUCUGCUAGAGGAUGACUAUCCACAAAUUCGUGGAGCCUUCUCGAAGUAUAAUGUGUGGGUCACCCCAUAUAACAAGUCUGAAAUAUGGGCAGGAGGAAAGCAUGUUGAUCAAAGCCAAGGACAAGACACUUUAGCUGUUUGGACCCUCAGGUACCGUACUCCAUUGCUUAUCUAAAACAGUAGAGAUCAUGUCAUUAAUUAACUUAAUUUCAAUCUCGAAAUUUAUUCCAAUAUUUUUCUGUUUUUGGAUGUGCAGGGAUAGAAAGAUUGAAAACGAGGACAUAGUAUUGUGGCAUGUCUUAGGGUAUCACCACUCCCCUUGCCAAGAAGAUUUUCCCGUGAUGCCAACAUUGAGUGCUGGAUUCGAGCUCCGACCAGCUAAUUUCUUUGAAAGCAAUCCUGUGCUCAAGGUGUUGCCUCCUAAGCCUGUACGUUGCCUAACUGCACCGCCAAACCAUAGUCUAUUUUCUUCCGUGUUUUCGAAAUGCCAAAUAAAUUUGUCUCUACUUUAAUGCUUGCAUUUUGUUGUAUUUGUGGUGCGGAGCUUUGCUAUUGGCAGUUCCGUAUCGAAGAAAGCUUGCAAGAGCUCUGCUCGAUGAACUAGAACGUUUCAAUGUUUUGUUAGAAAUCGAACUGUAUCAAUAUUUUGCUUCAGAGCUGGGGAAAUAUUGUAGGAUACGACACUUCUGUGUUAGUCAGGGGUCCAUAUCAGGUAUUAGGGUUCUUAUUCGAACCACAAAGCUGGAACCUUUACAUGAUCAAGUAUUGCUUCAGCUCGAUGAGUGCAGGUUGAGGUCAGUUUGAAAGAAAUCAAAGGUGAGUUUAUCCCCUCUCACAACAAUCAAACACUCUAUGGAUGUAUCAUUGUGUUCAACUACUGUGCUAUCCGAUGACGACGAAGAUGAUUUUUGUGAGGAAACUAAUAGAGCAGCAACGACUCACAUAGAGACAAAACAAAAACCCGAAUUUGAAUAUGAAUUCACCGGAUUAUUGGGCUCCCAAACUCAGAUUGCUAGCACACUCAUCUGGUCUGAAGUUUCACCGAUGUACCUCUACCCAGAAAUUACUGAAUUUUGUAGACAUGCAGGUUUAUCUAAUGAGAGUACAUCCGAAGUUGAUAAUCGAUUAGCCUUGGUACCUUUCGUAUGUGUCGAGGUGGAUUCAGUUGCAUGCGGAGAGGUAGAUGUGCAACAUGUUUCUUGCUUUCCUAUUAAGGAUGGGCUGGAUCAACAUAUCGUUUAUGACAGUGGACUCCUACAGAAUAUGGGCCGUAAGAAACAGCAGAAAUCUUCAAGCAUAGGAUCGGAAACCAAUCGUGAUUCAACAAGCAUUGGGCCAUCUUUUACAACCUUCAUCACUCCUAUUGCUGAUCCAUAUGAGCUUACGGCUCUGGAAGUAGGAAACAGGAAAUCCCACAGAAAACACGCAAAAAAGCUCACACGCAGAACAAAAUCUCUUAGGAGGAGGAAAUCAAGUCAUAUGGGAAAACACAACGGUAUGCAAUCAGAGACCGUAAUUGUUGAAUAUUCAGUUUCUGAUAAUGGGAUAAAGAAUAGAAAUGCUAUUAUCAAAUCUGGUAAGGAAUUGAUUGGUGAGGAUGAGGCAAGUAGUUCAAGAUACAGACCCGACACCAAUGCUGGUGAUGAAGCAUAUGAGCCUGCACAUUCUGAUAACUGGGCCGAAGCCACUGCUUGCUGGGAAGUUGGAAAAGCUAUUCUCCAAGGGCAUGACGAUAGCACACUCAUGACUCAGACUCUGCAGGGAUUCCUAGAUCGAGAACAGGAAGAGUGGAUCCUAAGGAAGAAGACAUGAUUUGCUUCCGUAUAUAGUCUGAAGGUAUGGUCUCUGAAAUCACUUAUAUGGGUAGUAUAAUUGUAUGGAAUGUUUGUGGAUUAGGGGGCAGAGAAAAAAAGAGAUGUUUGAGGAAUCUCGGUAGAAAAUUUAAUCUUCAUAUCCUGGGUAUUUUGGAAACAAAAUUGGAAACUUUGAAUGAUUUCACUAUUACUGCUAUAUGGGGUCGUCAUCCUAAGGCUUGGUAUGUAGUUCCCUCAUUGGGCCUUUCAGGGGGGAUUUUAUGUAUUUGGAAUCCGAAUCUAUUUUGUGUCUCUGGAUGUUCUGUUGCUAUGAAUGGCCGUUUUUGCAUAUCGAAGGCACCUUCACUCGAUCCAAUCUAGAUUCUAGUCUCUUUUGUAUAUGCUCCGAAUAUUGGGAUCCUGAAGAAUGAGCUGUGGACUUAUCUUGUUACAUUCAGGGAUAGUGUUAGCAAGCCGUGGUGUCUUGCGGGUGAUUUUAAUGAAACCUUAUUUCCAUCAGAUAGGAAAGGCGGCUCACAAAUCACAUCUUCCAUGUCAAGAUUUAAAAAUUGCAUUGAUGAUUGUAAUCUUAUAGAGCUCCCCUUAAAUGGAAGAAAAUUUACAUGGUCUCGAGGUAAUGCGGCAAGCCGGAUUGAUAGAAUAUUUCUCUCGGGGGAUUGGUUGCAGGCUUUCCCAUCCUCCUCUUUAUUUGGUCUCUCAAAAUAUUCAUCCGAUCAUAGGCCUUUGCAUCUGUUGCUAGAUCAUACAAAUUGGGGCCCGAAACCUUUUCGCUUCAUGAAUUGCUGGUGGCUUGCGUCUGAUUUCAGGAUUAUGAUUCAGAGCUUCUGGAGCUCAAUCGCGGUUUCCAAAUCUGGUACAAGGAAAAUGGUCCCAGCUCUAAAGAUGUUGAAAGAGAGAUGUCGACAAUGGAGUAAAGCAUCUGUGGGAAACAUGAAUGAUAGAAUUGAAGAACUGGAACUUGAAGCUGACUUAAUGGAUCGUCAAAAUGAGUGCAGGGUCUUGAAUACUGAUGAACUGAUUAGAAGUAAAUCCAUUGCCUCCCAGCUCAAAAUCUUGUAUAGAGCUCAAGAGUCUGCCUGGCAUCAGAAGUCAAGAAUUCAGUGGUGUAAUCUUGGAGAUAAAAAUACCCGAUUCUUUCAUUUAGCUGCAACAACAAGACAGAAAAAGAAUCAGCUUGCAUGCUUGGAGGUUGAUGGAAAGAUCCUAUCUAAACCAAAUGAGGUGAAGCUAGCUGUCUUUCACUUUUUCCGCAACUUGUACUCCCACCAGAACAGACCUAGAGCGUCAUGUUCAAACCUAGAAUUCUCAAGGCUGAAGUCUUCCUCCUCGGCUGCUCUUGAAUUUCCAUUUUCUGCAGAAGAGAUUAAAGCAGCUGUGUGGGAUUGUGAUGGAAAUAAAGCCCCAGGUCCUGAUGGUAUUAACUUUCUUUUCAUCAAGAAAGCAUGGAACAUUAUAGGUCAGGACAUUAUCCAGAUGGUUGAUGAAUUCUAUCGGACUAAUCUCCUCCCUGCAGGUAUCAAUAGCACCUUCGUUACUCUUAUUCCAAAGAUUAAAAGUGCUAUCAAGCUAUCGGAUUUCAGACCUAUUAGUUUGGUGGGUAGCCUAUACAAGAUUUUCUCAAAGAUUCUUGCAACUAGGUUGAAACAUGUUAUGCCAGAGGUCAUCUCUCAUCAUCAAAAUGCUUUCAUCAAAGGGAGGCAAAUUUUAGACAGCGUCUUGAUUGCAAAUGAGGUCCUUUCUUUCAUCAAGAAGAAAAAGGGUAAAGCUUAUCUUUUCAAACUAGAUUUUCAUAAAGCCUUUGAUUCGGUGUUAUGGGAAUAUAUUAAUGACAUCAUGGCUAGUAUGGGCUUCGGUAGUAGAUGGCGAGGGUGGAUAAUGCAAUGCAUAUCAACGGCAAAAAUGUCUGUGCUUGUUAAUGGGUCUCCCACGGAGGAGUUCUGCUUAGCUAAAGGCCUACGCCAAGGAGACCCUCUCUCUCCGUUUCUCUUCAACAUUGCAGUCCAGGGUUUGAGUUGUAUGUUGCAGCGUGGCUGUGAUUUGGGUUUGACUUCGGGUAUAAACAUUGACAAUUCAGGGCUUGUCAUAUCUCACCUACAGUUUGCGGACGACACCCUUAUGUUCAGCUCAGACUCUCUUCAUAGCAUGCAAACAUUAAACGUAUCCUAUUAUGCUUUGAACUUGUCUCAGGGCUGAAGGUCAAUUUUCAUAAAAGCAGUAUUGUGGGUGUGGGUGUAGCAGCUCAUACAUGUACCUUCACAGCUCAGCUUCUCAGAUGCAAGCAGGAUCAGUUGCCUCUCAUGUAUCUUGGGCUCCCCAUCGGUGGAAACUUGGGCAGAGCUACAAUGUGGAACCCUAUUUUGCGCAAUAUCAGUUAUCGGUUGGCUUCGUGGAAAGGCAGAUUCUUAUCUAUUGGGGGUCGUUUGUGCUUGAUUAAAUCUGUGCUCACAAUCUCCCCAUCUACUACCUAUCUAUGUUCCCCAUGCCUACUACGGUAGCCUCCAAAAUUGAUCAGAAACUUCGAUCCUUCCUCUGGUCUGGAAAUGCGGAAAGGCACAAAAUAUGCAAUGUUAGCUGGGCAACUGUUACUCUUCCAAAACAUGCGGGUGGUCUUGGGAUUGGUUCUUUAAGGGACAAAAAUACAGCUCUGCUCUUUAAAUGGUUAUGGAGGUUUAGGUUGGAGGAAUCAAGUAUGUGGAAGGGUGUGAUCAAAAGCAUCUACAACACCAAUUGCUCUAAUCUGCUGCUGCAAGCUCCUAUUCCAGGAACUGCAACUACAUGGUCCCGGAUUGUCAAUCAUUGUGUGAGAAAUAAUAAGUUGCAGGAUAUUGUGAAUGAGCAAUCUUUGGUCCUUAUCGGAAAUGGCAAGAAAACUUUGUUUUGGCUUGAUUGCUGGCUUAAUAAUCACUGUUUAGCAGAUCACUUCCCUACUCUUUUCCAAUUAUCCAAUGACAAAGAUGCCACCAUUGCUAAGAUGGGAAUGUGGGAAGGGUAUGAGUGGAUUUGGUUUUUUUCAUGGAUACGUCCACUACGGGGGCGCAACAUUGGCUUGCUUGAUCAACUAUAUGCAAUCCUAUCAAUAGUACUCAUGGACAAAGAUGGAGAGGAUAGACUAAUUUGGAAGGACAAUAAUUCAGGAAGAUUUUCAGUGAAAUCUCUCUGCGGAUUGUUGAGUCCAAAGCCUUCCACAAACAAUGCCUUCUCAUUUGCUGGAUUUUGGAAAGGUAUUGUCCCUCCUAAGGUAGAGAUCUUUUGCUGGAUGGCUAUCAUUAACAGACUCAACACCCGAUGUAUGUUGGUUCGAAGAGGUAUCUUGAGUAGCUCGGAAUCAAAUUGCCCUAUUUGCCUUGUUGAAGCAGAAUCGGUGGACCAUAUUCUGCUUCACUGCCAUAAGCAUUGGCUCAUUUGGUCCAAAAUCAUUAAAUGGUGGGGUUUAGUUUGGUGUUGCCCAAAGAGCUUCUCAGAUAUGUGGUCUCAAUGGUCUUCCAUGGUGCAUGGUAAUUUUCAAAGGAAGGCAUGGUUGAUGUUGUUCUUCUCAGUGGCAUGGUCUCUUUGGCUCCUUCGAAAUGAUCUCAUUUUCCAACAGAAGACACCUGAUUAUGACUCAAUUUUUUUUCUUAUUAUCACCCGUCUAUGUCUUUGGCUAAAAGCUAUCCAUUCAGAUUUUCCAUACUCCCCUACAGAUCUGAUCAGAUCGGCAGAUGGCUUGCUUCGGUGGUCCAAUGCUCACUCUUUCAGGAUUAAAAAUAUAUGGUCUCCUCCUAUGAUUAAUAGGCUCAAAUGGAAUGUGGACGCUCUUCUCUUGGUAAGCCAGGCCCCUCUGGAAUAGGUGGUGUGCUGCGAAAUCAUCAUGGCCAUGUGCUCGGUAUGUUCUCUGUUCCAGUUGGUAUUUUAGACUCUAAUAUUGCUGAGUUAAGGGCUAUUGUGAAAGCCAUUGAUCUAUCAGCAUCUAAUUGCCAUUUACACCAUCAACACCUCAUCAUCGAAUCUGACUCUGUCAAUGCUAUUCGCUGGAUGAAUAAUCCUCUCAGUCGUCACUGGAAGCAUCAUAAUUUGUUCUCCUAUGUUAAUAGACUGAAAGCAUAUUUUGGUUCAAUCACCUUCUCUCAUAUCUUUCGUGAAAGUAAUUGCAUGGCAGAUGGUUUGGCUAAGCAAGGAGUGCGGAGAUCAAGUGAAUUUGUUGCCUGGCUUUGAAUCCACCAUUUUUCUAUGGGCUUGCUAUUGUUUCUUCUCCCAUUAUGUCUUUGAGUAUUUUCUGUUUUGUUUCGUUGAGGAAUGUUUAGUUUCAGCUCAUUUGGAUGGAUUUUGUAUGGUUUUCUUUGCUUUGGUUUAUCUUAAGUUGCGCUUUAUCCUUCAUAUGACUUUAUGCCAUAUUAAGAUAUUGUGUAGCUUUUGUUCUAUUCCCGUCAGACUUUGACGCUUAUAUAAUAUACACAUCUUUCAAAAAAAAAAUCAUAUGGUUUCCAACAAAAUAAUUCAUCUAACUAAAGAACUCCCUUUUUUUUUAAGAAGAAAGGCUAGCUUCAAAUUUUAACUGCUGAAAUAGAGAUUUUAACCAGCCAACCAAAUGACUAGUAGCUUCAUUUGCUAUUAUUAAUUCCACUUCCCCCCCUCAGGCUCAGGCUGAGGUAACAAGGCUCCACAACCCAGGCUUCUAUUUCCUAUAUCUGUGCACUGUGCUGUGGGGUCAGAAGAAAGACCACAAAAUUAAAUGUUGAUAUGUCUCAUUCCAACUGUGGCGGUCCCCCGUUUUCUUUUCUAACUUUGAAUUGAUCUGAGGCGGUUUCUGAAGGAGAUGACUGUGCUUAACGGCUUGUGUCUGGGGAUUUGGAGAGGAUAGAUAAGGAGAUUGAGAGGACAGUGGUCAAGAAAAAAUAAAAGAGACAUGUGCGUCCUGAAAACUACGUUCUGUCAAUUAGAACAGUUGGGAUUACCGGUUGGUGGAGAUUUUUUCCGAUGUUAAAUCCUCCUGUGUUGCCUGAGCUAAUCCAUAUGUAAAAAAUCUAUAAGAGUGAACUGAAACCUUCAUUUAGCAAUCCUUUACCAUGUCAACAAAGAAGAAAAAAACAAUUAAGCUUCAAUAAUUUAUCAAACUGGUUUUAAACAUAACUAUAUGUUAUGCGCACUUUACUACGAGUUAAAUAAUUUUAUUAAUAUAAAAAAAUAAAAAAUAAAAAAGUAAAUAAAAUUAUUCAAGUUAUUAGUUAAAAUAAUAAUUUAAAUAAUAUAAUAAAAUAAUAACAAUAAAUAAAAUAACAAACAGUGAUUAUUAAGGAUAUUGAAAUGUAUCAUUGAGAUUUGUACUCAAUGAUACAAUUUUAGCCAAAGAAUUAGGAGUUUUUUUUUCUCAUGGUAACACAAUGAAAAAAUUAUAUUUUCGAGACUAACACAACUUUUUUCCCAAACUAGUAUAAUUUUACUAUUCAUACAGGUCUCACGUGUGAAACUCACAUAUCAAUUUUUUCCCUUCUUUUUUCUACCUCAUUUCAUCAUCCGGUCCCUUUAUUCAUCUUUAAUUAACUUAUUUUUGUGCAAAACCUUUUUAUGCUCAAAAUUUCUGUGUGUGUGUAUAGUUGUUACUUUCAUCACUUUAGUUUUACUCUCAAUUAUUAAUCUUUUUAGAAAAAAAGUAAAUUAAAAUAAUUAUUUUCUAUUAUGAUAGUAAAAAAAAACAAAUCUAAAAGCAUGAGAAUUCUUUUUAGUUCUGAAACUUGUUGGGAACACCAAAGGCACUGACAGAACUUAUUAGGACUGUGAAGGAUAAUUGAUUUUUGUCUAGAUUUAUUUGUAUAUUUUUUAUUUAAAAAUAUAUUAAAAUAAUAUUUUAAAAAAAAUUAUUUUUGAUAUUAACUCAUUAAAAUAAUUUAAAAAUAUUAAAAAAUAUUAAUUUCAAAAAAAUAUAUAUUUUUUAAAAAAUAUUUUUAAAACACAAAAAAUAACAAUCUUUUAUUCAAAUGUUUUCAACAACUUGUUAUUAUCCACGGGCAGAUAGUAUUAUUGGAUAGAAGAAACGCCAGAAAUUACAACAGGAGAACAGAACAAAGCUGGCACCUGCAGUCUCUUGUAAUUGCCUCACCUCUCUCUUUAUCACUCAUAUUUCAAGUGGUUUGUAAUUGAUUUUUAAAAUAUAUUUUAUUUAAAAAUAUAUUAAAAAAAUUAAAAAUUAUUUUUAAUAUAAGUACAUUAAAUUAAUUUAAAAACACCAAAAACAUUAUUAAUUUAAAGCAAAAAAUUUUAAUAAUACUUUUAAAACAUGCAUCACCUUUGUCACCCGUCCAAGCUGCUACUCAUGGCUGCUAUUGCUGCUGCCAUAAAUGCAGUAGCCUCUCUAUGUUUUGGCGCUCUUCCACUGCUUGCCUCGGCUCUCAAUAAAUUAUUACAUUAGAUACAUAUUAUAAUAUUAACAUGGGGAUAAGCUUAGAGAUAAGGAAUCUCGAGGAUGAUGGGCGUGGAUCCAAUUUUCGAUUUCUCAGUUGGAAACAUAUAUAUCUUAUUCCUAAUAACGGUCGUAUUCUACUCAUCAGCAUAGAUCAUUCAAUCUUAUUUAUCUUGUGUAAUUAAUAUGCAAGAGUAUAUUUUAGUUAUUAUCUGGCAUAACCUCGACUAAGUCUCGAGUAACCCUCAAAUCAUUCACGAUAAAGUCUUAUAUCUACUACUAUUGCAAUCAUAUUAGCACGCCCCCUUUUAACUCUACAUUCUCUCUAUGUUUUUUUUUUCCCUUAAGAAUGAUCCACUUUUAUUCUUAAUACUUUAUUUCAAAUUAAUUAAUCUGGAUAUUAUAAACUGUGCAAAUAUCUCAACACUUCCAUCAUUUCUUGACAGGAUUUGCUGUCGUCUCAUUAGAACUUUGUAAUUAAUACAUGAUCAACCUAUUAAUAUCGAACCUCAUCCUUCCUACUGUACUAAUUAAUUGGACGGUUUACACUCACACACAAUAUUCUAACAGCUAGAUACUGGUUUGACUGGAUUAUCUAGAUUUGGAUUUUAAUUGAAUCUUUUGAAUUUUAUAAAUUGAUUAAAUCAUUAAUUCCAGUCCCAUAAUUAUAAACUCAACAUAGUUAGGCGGGUCAUUACGUCAACCAACAUUAGUCUAAUUUGAAAAGUACGAUUGCAACUAAUAUUUUUUUUUCUGAAUACGUACGUGCACUCAUAAAAAAAUCCAAAAUGCCUAUUUAAGGAUGAAGAAGCUCCAUAGUUCCUUCAUCCAUGGCUUCAACAUUGAAAGUGGUGCUCUUGUUACUCUUCUCUAGCUUUACUAUCUCGCCUAUCUCUUGCUACAAGGGUGCGCAGCACCCACUAGACCCUCUAUCCCCGAAAGAGUUGACCCUGGUCCAAACCAUUGUCAAGAAAGCAUACAGCCCUAGCUCAAACAACAGCAUAUCAUUCCAUUAUGUAGGGUUAGGUGAGCCAGAAAAACCAACUGUUCUGUCAUGGCUAUCGAAACCCAGCACCAAAACCCUUCCUCGCCGGGCCCUAGUCUUUACUCGAGUAAAUGAACAAACCCAUGAAAUUAUUGUAGACUUAUCCAAAUGCAUCAUUGUAUACGAUGAAGUUUACAAGGGACCCGGCUAUCCUUCACUUACAGCUGACGAGCAAAUGGCUGCGAGUCAGUUGCCAUUAACAUACGGUCCCUUUAUCGAAUCAACUAAAAAGAGAGACCUUAACGUUUCAUAUGUUGCUUGUUCUGCUUUUACAGUGGGGUGGUUUGGAGGAGUUGAGAGAACUAAAAGGGUGGCAAAGGUUCAAUGUUUUUAUACCAAGGGCACCGUUAAUCAGUACCUCAGGCCAAUAGAGGGUAUACAAAUAGUUGUCGAUCUUGAUAAAAUGAAGAUUGUUGAAUACAGUGACACGUUCAAGAUUGCGGUACCAAAAGCUGAGGGAACUGACUACAGAUUUUCCAAGCAGAUUCCGCCUUUUGGUCCCCGUAUCAACGGUGCAGCCAUCAUGCAAACGAAUGGACUAGGCUUCGAGAUUGAUGGCCAUACUAUCAGGUUUUUUUUUUUUUUAUUCUAUUCUUUGUUUCUCUUCUUCUUCUCAUCAUUAUUUCACUCAUCAUGAUACCUCUGUUCUAAUUAUUUGGCCAAAUUUAAAAAAAAAAAAAAGAAUUUGUCAUUUUUUGUUCUAUAAUGAACAUUCGAAAGUAAAAGCAAGUUAAGUUAAUCAGGCCAUGGUAUAUAUAUGACGUAAAAUAUGAAGAUUACGUUCAGGUUUUAAGAAUUAGGGUUACAAAACAAAUUUGAAAAUGCAGUUCUUUAAAAUUCAGAUCUCAGUCAAUUAAGCUAAAUUACCCAAGGCCCAUCUUCGGACUUAUAAGCGUGAUUAGUGUGCAUUUUUGUUUCAGUUAUUUUUAGAUUAAUGGAAAAACCUCUAUAUCGCAUUGGUUUUAGACCACAGUAUAAGUUGUUAAAACGUCGUGUGAAAAAAUAUACUAGCAAUAAUUAAGAACGUUAAAGCAAUAUUUUCUUUUUCUUUAUAGUACGUAUUCAUCAAUUAUUAUCGAAGUAGAUUAUAUUUUUUUGGUGAUAUUAUAAUGUAGAAGCUAUUGAAACUAUUAAAUAUCUUCAAUAGUAACAAUAAGUGAAAUUAUAUUAAUGAGGUUAGUUAGGUAUCAAAUAUGUCUACGGAAGAAUUUUAAGAGCAUACCCAAGUAUCCGAAAAGCAAUCCAUGUGUUAAUUCUAUUAUUUAUUAAUUUUGGAUAUAUUCGAAAAGCAAUCCAUAUGUAGGGAGAAAUAUCAAAUCAAAUAUGUAUACACGUGCUGGGAGUUUGAACUAUGUUGACUACAUAUAUAUCGUUGUGUCCCUAAUAAUUAUCGAUGUAAGUAAAACAUUUAUUGACUGCUUGUGUCAAGACAAUCACCCACACCACAAGCACCUGUUUUUCUAUUUUCUUUCCUUUAUGGGUUACAAUUCAGGUUUGUUGUUUAGUUGGUACUUCAGUAAUACACGAAUCUUUAAAACUACUCUAUAUUCGUGGUAUUUUGAAGACUAAAAGCAUUCCACUUUAAUUUUAAUCUUACUGAAAUAGUUGUAUUUAUGAAUUUAUUAUUAUUAUUUGAUCGAUCUCUCUCGUGCUUAAAAUUAAACAGUUUCUGCCUAACGUUUAAAAAUUAAAAAUGUUGCGGCUCAAUAAAAAAAUAUAUUUGGUAAAUAGAUUGUAGAAGAAAAAAAAAUUGAUAUUUCAUCUUGAAAGCUGCAGAUAAAAAAUGUGUUGUGCUAAAUCUUUCAUAGUUAAAUCAUUAAUUAAGUGAUGUUCUUUUAAGAAAGAAGAAGUUAAUUAGGUCUAUAGUUUGAGUUUCACUAAUCUCACCAUCCAAAGAAAAAAAAUUAUAAUUUCAGCAUCCUCAUUUUAUAUAUAUAAAAAUAUAAACUUAAAUUGUAAAUCUAUUUAAGUUUUAAACUCAAAAUACUUUUACUUAAAAAGAUAUUAUUAAAAAAUAAUAUAAAUUAUAUUUUAGAAUUUCAUCUCUUAAUUUAAAAUUUUGAAUUGAAAUCAUUCACCAAUAUUACACUAUAUAUACUUGGGAUCAAGACUUUCAUCGAAAGUAAAAAAUAUGGUUAAGUAUAGACUUGGGAUCAAGACUUUCACCGAAAGUGAAAAAUGUGAAAAACAUGGAUAAGAGAUGGGAAAUGUUUUUUCUCCAUCGCCAUUCAUUUGGUAGACAAUGACAACGAGGAAGACAGAGAACCACUGGAACAUUAAUAUAUAUAUAUAUAUAUAUAUAUAUAGGACCACAUAUAUAUAUAGGACCACUGGAAAAAGCAAUAGGCGUUUCUCGAACAUCGCAAAUCACAAAGAUUAGAAAACUCGAAGGUAUCCUCCAAACUCGAAGCAAUAUUUUUUAUGAUUAUUAUAUGCUGAUAUCUAAAUUGAAAAAAAAUAUUUUUUGAAAUAAAAAGUAUUUUUAAAAAUCAUUAUGUAUUAUUACAAUACUAAAUACAUAAUUACACUAAAAUAUUUGAGUUGUAAUUAUGAUAGUUAUAUGGUUUUAUUCCGUUGUUUUAGUGGCUUGUACAUGUUUAAUUAAUAAACAGUAGAAUAAAAGAUUAUAAUACAAAUUUUUUUUAAAGCAAUUUUUUAACAUAUUUUAAUAUAAAUUUUGAAAUUUUAAAAAACUGAACUUUAUUUUCAGCAUUUUUUGCUUUAAAAAUUAAAAAUUAAUUCAAAUUAAAUUGAUACAGACACGUGUCAUAUAUAUUGAGUCAGUAAUUGCUUACAGAAAUGUUAUUAGUUUUUCCACAUGUCGCAGCUAGAAACACUUUUUCUUCUUUUCUUGUGUGAAAAGGUACAAAAUGACUUAAUUUAUUUUUGUUAUUUCAAUGGGGGGGGGAGUAUAUCUCUGGCAUUUUUCGCAAUCGGCUUUGGUUAAUCGAACCUUGCCCUACUGUGUAAUAAAGUAAAAACAAAACAUGAAGCUGGCCAUGGCAUUUCCUGAUUCGAUAAUUGAUUAUUUCUCGUUCCUUUUAUUUUAAUAUAUUUUUGAAAAGCUUAACAAACAACUAACUGCAAAUUUGAUCCCUAUCAGAUGGGUCAACUGGGUGUUUCAUCUGGCAUUUGAUGUCCGAGUUGGACCAAUUAUAUCUCUGGCAUCAAUUUACGAUCCAGAAAAGCACACCUAUCGCAGCGUGUUGUACCGAGGACACAUAUCUGAACUCUUUGUCCCCUACAUGGAUCCAACCGAGGAAUAUUACUACAAAACAUUUUUUGAUUGCGGAGAAUUCGGGUUUGGUCAGAAUGCGGCUUCAUUGGUGCCCCUGGCCGACUGUCCAAAUAAUGCAGUAUUCAUGGACGGCUACUACGCAGCACAUGACGGUUCAGCAGUGAAAGUAGCAAAUGCUUUUUGCAUAUUUGAAAGGCACGCUGGAGAUAUCAUGUGGCGACAUACCGAGCUGGGGAUUCCAAACCGAGUGGUAAACAUUUUUGUGACGUUAUAUUUUAGAGCCAUUGAUUUCGAUUUCAUCAGCUAAUAUAUAUAUAUAUAUAUAGGAUUGAAAAAUGUGUUCGUUAUUUUCAGAUCAAUGAGGCGAGGCCUGAGGUGAGCCUAGUAGUGAGGAUGGUUGCCACGAUCGGUAACUAUGAUCAUAUAAUAGACUGGGAAUUCAAGCCAAGUGGUUCUAUCAAAGCUCAGGUAAACUGUAGACAAUGGCGUGGCUUUAUAUAUAUUAUAAUUAACCUUGAUCAUGAUCAUAUCCUCAAGUUAGUAACACGUUCUAUGCCUCAACAGGUUGGUUUAAGUGGAAUUCUUGAAGUGAAGUCAACAACAUUCACCAACGUGGAUCAGAUAAAUGAAGAAGUUUACGGUACAUUGUUGGGAGACAACACAAUCGGCUUAAACCAUGAUCAUUUCUUGACUUACCGCCUUGAUCUUGACAUUGAUGGUGCUGCCAACUCUUUUGUUAAGCAAAAUUUGGUAACCAAACAAGUGAAGGAUAAUGUCUCACCAAGGAAGAGUUAUUGGACUGUUGUUAGUGAAACAGCCAAGACUGAAUCGGAGGCGAAAAUUCGCUUAGGGACGACUCCAUCUGAGCUGGUAAUUGUGAAUCCAAAUAAGAAAACUAAACCUGGAAACCAUCAUGGCUAUCGUUUGAUACCAGGGGCAGCUACACACCCCCUUCUGCUAGAGGAUGACUAUCCACAAAUUCGUGGAGCCUUCUCGAAGUAUAAUGUGUGGGUCACCCCAUAUAACAAGUCUGAAAUAUGGGCAGGAGG
rnacentral:lncRNA from 1 species